GACGAACGCUGGCGGCGUGCCUAAUACAUGCAAGUUGAGCGCUGAAGGUUGGUACUUGUACCAACUGGAUGAGCAGCGAACGGGUGAGUAACGCGUGGGGAAUCUGCCUUUGAGCGGGGGACAACAUUUGGAAACGAAUGCUAAUACCGCAUAAAAACUUUAAACACAAGUUUUAAGUUUGAAAGAUGCAAUUGCGUCACUCAAAGAUGAUCCCGCGUUGUAUUAGCUAGUUGGUGAGGUAAAGGCUCACCAAGGCGAUGAUACAUAGCCGACCUGAGGGGGUGAUCGGCCACAUUGGGACGGAGACACGGCCCAAACUCCUACGGGAGGCAGCAGUAGGGAAUCUUCGGCAAUGGACGAAAGUCUGACCGAGCAACGCCGCGUGAGUGAAGAAGGUUUUCGGAUCGUAAAACUCUGUUGGUAGAGAAGAACGUUGGUGAGAGUGGAAAGCUCAUCAAGUGACGGUAACUACCCAGAAAGGGACGGCUAACUACGUG
rnacentral:rRNA from 1 species